rnacentral:sRNA from 1 species
UAUUCUACCCAGCCGGGAAGGAUGAGAAGCUUCGACUAAGGUUCGAUUCGAGCGUAGCGAGAAAGCGUUGCCGCAGGCAACGACCCGAAGGGCGAAGCGCGCAGCGCUGAGUCAUCCUUCCCCCACCACCA